rnacentral:lncRNA from 1 species
CAAAAGAGUACCUGUGAGAGAAGGAGGGGCAGUUUCCAAAAGGAAAAGUCUUCGUGGCAUGCCAAGGGGAUCCACGCACGCCAGCCAGCCAGGAGGAAGCUGCAGCCUGCAAGUCCAUGCUGAGCUUCUGCAGAACCACAGCCGACAGCCCAUAGGGAACGUUAGGCCAGGCCCCCACACCCCGAGCAGCAGCUGCUUCUGCAGCAGCCAGCAAGGUGCCGGCGAGCAGACACUGCAUUUCUAGCCCCAGUGCAAACGCUGGGUUCAUGAAAACCCCACCACUCCAAAGUAGCUCCUGAAAUGUGGUAACCGGCGAAAGCCUCUGCUGUGUGGCACAUGGAGGGAUGCCAACCCUUUUCAAUUUUAUAUGUCCCUGUUUUCCUGGUGAGCUGGCUAUGUGGAUGCACCGUUCUUAAUGGGCCCCUCACUGGCUACGAGAGUUUGGGAUUUUGAAAGGGACUCAGAGCAGAGAGUGAGCUUCGCCAAUAUCUGAAACUGCAACAUUUCUUCCAUUUGUAAAAUUAUCUAAACGCCUUCAGGGAACAUGGGAAGCAUUUCUCUUGUCAAUGAAAUCUUCUGAUGUUAAUUAAUAA